CGCCACUCCGCGGGCGUUGCGUACGAUGGGCUUGGGAGUCAGGCGAGUAGCGAAGGGUGGUUGGUUGCAGGCGGAGAAGCGACGGCUCGCCACCUUUCCAGGAAACUUUGGUCGUGCUCGCUGGUAAUGCCGAGACGGUGAUCGCUGCAGAGCCUUGCGGAGCCGCUUUCCUUCCGGGAUGCCUGAAAUAAAAGUCACCCCCCUGGGAGCUGGCCAAGAUGUGGGUCGCAGCUGCAUCCUUGUGUCCAUUGCAGGGAAGAACGUCAUGCUGGAUUGCGGGAUGCACAUGGGAUUCAAUGAUGAUAGGCGGUUUCCUGAUUUUUCCUACAUCACUCAGAACGGAAGGCUGACUGACUUCCUCGACUGUGUCAUCAUUAGCCACUUCCAUUUGGAUCACUGUGGGGCCCUCCCUUACUUCAGCGAGAUGGUCGGCUACGAUGGGCCCAUUUACAUGACCCACCCAACGAAAGCCAUUUGCCCCAUUCUCCUGGAAGAUUUCCGGAAAAUCACCGUGGACAAGAAAGGGGAGACCAAUUUCUUCACGUCCCAGAUGAUCAAGGACUGCAUGAAGAAAGUGGUGGCUGUCCACCUUCACCAGACUGUGCAGGUGGACAGCGAGUUGGAGAUUAAGGCCUAUUAUGCUGGCCACGUCCUUGGGGCUGCGAUGUUCCAGAUUAAAGUCGGUUGCGAAUCGGUGGUUUAUACUGGUGACUAUAACAUGACACCAGACAGGCAUUUGGGGGCUGCCUGGAUUGACAAAUGCCGUCCCAACCUGCUGAUCUCUGAGUCCACGUACGCCACCACCAUCAGGGACUCCAAACGCUGUAGAGAAAGGGAUUUUUUGAAGAAGGUCCACGAGAGCAUUGAGCGCGGAGGGAAGGUCCUGAUCCCAGUCUUUGCUCUGGGCCGGGCUCAAGAACUCUGCAUUUUGCUGGAGACCUUCUGGGAGCGCAUGAACCUGAAGGCGCCCAUCUACUUCUCAACGGGGCUGACGGAGAAGGCAAACCACUACUACAAGCUCUUCAUCACGUGGACGAAUCAGAAGAUCCGGAAAACCUUUGUCCAGCGGAACAUGUUUGAGUUCAAGCACAUCAAAGCUUUUGAGAGGACCUAUGUGGACAACCCUGGGCCCAUGGUUGUGUUUGCUACGCCAGGGAUGCUGCAUGCGGGCCAGUCACUCCAUAUCUUCAAGAAAUGGGCUGGCAACGAGAAAAACAUGGUCAUCAUGCCCGGGUAUUGUGUCCAAGGAACAGUGGGCCACAAAAUUUUGGGUGGACAGCGGAAGCUAGAAAUGGAAGGAAGACAAAUUCUGGAAGUCAAGAUGCAGGUGGAGUACAUGUCCUUCAGCGCACACGCCGACGCCAAGGGCAUCAUGCAGCUCAUCCGGCAAGCCGAACCCCGCAACGUCCUCCUGGUCCAUGGCGAGGCCAAGAAGAUGGAGUUUCUGAAGCAGAAAAUCGAGCAGGAAUUCCGGGUCCAGUGCCACAUGCCUGCCAAUGGGGAAACGGUGUCCAUUUUCACCAAUCCUAACAUCCCGGUGGAUAUUUCUCUCGGGCUACUGAAGAGAGAGCUGGCCAUUGGACCCUCGCCGGCCUCCAAGAAGCCGAAGCUGUUGCACGGCACCCUGAUCAUCAAGGAUAACAGUUUCCGCUUGGUUUCUUCCGAGCAAGCCCUGAAGGAAUUGGGGCUGGGGGAGCACCAGCUGCGCUUCACCUGCCGGAUCCACUUCCAAGACCCCCGCAAGGAACACGAGACCGGCCUGCGUGUUUACAACCACCUGAAAAGCGCCUUGAAGGAUUAUUCCGUCCAGCAUCUCUCAGACGCCUCCAUCAUGGUGGAGUCCAUCUUGAUCCAGGUUACGGUCCAGUCUGAAGAUCCCACCACCAAACUUCUGCUGGUCUCCUGGACGUACCAGGAUGAAGAAAUGGGGAGCUACGUCACCUCUCUGCUGAAAAAGGCCCUGCCUCAGAUCACAGGGUGAACCCCUGGGUGCCUCCAGCUGCUGCCGCCACAGACUUUUAGCUGCAGAGAGCGGCAGGUUUGCACAAGAGUGGGCAGAAGAGAAAAAUCCAUGUUUGUUUUAGUCAUUUUGGAGGGUCUGGGAUGAAGCCGAUCAGCAAAGGCUCACCGGCUCUCCAGAAGACAGGGCCUCUGGCUCCACCAUUUGGGGAAACCAGAAGUGAUGUAUUUAUUUAAGAAGAAAAGACUCCUGAAUUUAAGACGAGCACAGAUUUGAGUCUCUGGCUCAAUGCCCCACCACCCAAGAGAUUAAACCCACAUUUCUGGAAACGGAAGAGACUCACCGGAUGGGCUCUGAAAGGAGAUGCUUGUUGAGCACCUGGACGAGGACGUCUUCGGAGAAGGGGGGCUGCCCCUCCUUCCUCUGGACAUCCAGUGGAUCAGCCCUGGGCAAAGGGGAUUCCUUGGAAAUGAAGCACACCGGCCCGGCUGAUCUCUAAAAGAUCGCAGCAGCAAGGCCGGAUCCGGUGGUUCGCAGUUGGGAGGCAAGAUCACCAGGAAGGUCAUAAGCUCCGUGGGGCAGUCUAAGGGAGCCCAAACAAUCCAGAAGGGGGCAGCGGUGAGCCGAACAAGCACAGAGGCAAGCCAGGCUGACUCCACUCAAGGUGAUUUUCCACACCAACAGCCGACAUGCCGGAGGGCAGAGCCUUCACACCGCUGCAGAGGGCGAAGACAGAAAAAAGUGAAAUUAUGCUUUCCCAAUGGUGUCAAUGCAUGGACAAAUCAGAUGCUUUGAGAAGACAAGAGUGACCAGAACAACAGAGUUUGGAAGGGAUCUUGGAGGUCUUCUAGUCCAACCCCCUGCUCAAGCAGGAACCUUACACCAUUUUAGACAAGUGGCUGUCCGAUCUGUUCUUAAAAGCCUCCAGGGAUGGAGCACCCACAACAGAUGGAGGCA